rnacentral:rRNA from 1 species
CCUACGGGAGGCAGCAGUAAGGAAUAUUGGUCAAUGGACGAAAGUCUGAACCAGCCAUGCCGCGUGAAGGAUGAAGGCCCUCUGGGUUGUAAACUUCUUUUAUCUGGGACGAAAAAAGGGCUUUCUAGCUCACUUGACGGUACCAGAGGAAUAAGCACCGGCUAACUCCGUGCCAGCAGCCGCGGUAAUACGGAGGGUGCAAGCGUUAUCCGGAUUCACUGGGUUUAAAGGGUGCGUAGGUGGGUCUGUAAGUCAGUGGUGAAAUCUCCGAGCUUAACUCGGAAACUGCCAUUGAUACUAUAGGUCUUGAAUCAUCUGGAGGUAAGCGGAAUAUGUCAUGUAGCGGUGAAAUGCUUAGAUAUGACAUAGAACACCAAUUGCGAAGGCAGCUUACUACGGGUGCAUUGACACUGAGGCACGAAAGCGUGGGGAUCAAACAGGAUUAGAUACCCUGGUAGUCCACGCCCUAAACGAUGGAUACUCGACAUCAGCGAUACACUGUUGGUGUCUGNGNGAAGANAUAUAUCCACCNGAGACGACGACGAGUAGAACGUACAAUAGAGUAGAGACGUAGAGAGNGCGACGGACGACGACGAGGGAGGAGG